AACGAACGCUGGCGGCAUGCCUAACACAUGCAAGUCGAACGAAGGCUUCGGCCUUAGUGGCGCACGGGUGCGUAACGCGUGGGAAUCUGCCCCUUGGUUCGGAAUAACAGUGAGAAAUUACUGCUAAUACCGGAUGACGACGAAAGUCCAAAGAUUUAUCGCCGAGGGAUGAGCCCGCGUAGGAUUAGCUAGUUGGUGGGGUAAAGGCCUACCAAGGCGACGAUCCUUAGCUGGUCUGAGAGGAUGAUCAGCCACACUGGGACUGAGACACGGCCCAGACUCCUACGGGAGGCAGCAGUGGGGAAUAUUGGACAAUGGGCGAAAGCCUGAUCCAGCAAUGCCGCGUGAGUGAUGAAGGCCUUAGGGUUGUAAAGCUCUUUUACCCGGGAUGAUAAUGACAGUACCGGGAGAAUAAGCUCCGGCUAACUCCGUGCCAGCCGCCGCCGUAA
rnacentral:rRNA from 1 species